GGGCUGGUGGCGGAAUUGGUAGACGCGCUAGACUCAAAAUCUGGUGAGAAUUAUCUCGUGCGGGUUCAAGUCCCGCCCGGCCCACCA
rnacentral:tRNA from 1 species